AGCUCUUCUGUGGGCCACGCCUCUACAUUUGUCCCCUCGUUUCCACAAAAACGAAGAACAGUGUUCUCGUCCAACUCUUCCAUUUUCAUUAUGAACAGACUCUGCUGGCUCCAUGGAGCAAAGGUCUCGGGGCUGUGGCAGCAAGUAUGAGACACAGUCUGUGGCUGGAAGCCUGGGCCCCGGGGGACUACACGGCUGAACAAGUCACAUGGCUUGGACAUCGAGGGGACAAGGAUGCAACUUUGGCAUAAUUACUAGAUUUUGCCCCGAAAGCCCUUCCCCUUUCAAACUUCCCCUGGCACAAUUCUCACAAUGCUGAAAUAAACACAUUCCACGGGCUUUCCUGUAAGCAGGUUUCAAGUGUCCCGUGAAAGCUGUUUUCAGGAAGAGCCUAUGCUGUCAACUUUGUUGUCAAGUGCCCUCAAACCAGUCUGUUACUCAGGAGUGAACAUUUGUUAGUCAUUAGAGAUAAGGCAUCUCGCGCUCUGGAGCUGGGGAAGGGAGAGGCCGAACGAGGACCUGGCGUGGAGGGGAGAUAGAGCCCAACACAGCACACCCAAACCGGCCUGUGCAAGAGUCUGUACUUCCCCAAGUCAGCUUCCAGCCCCGAAGGAGGGAAACAAGGUUCCGAUGGGUUCUGAAGUUCGACGCAGCAACCAUCCUGUCCCCGGGGGAACCGAGCCCCGGCGGGGACGCCAGGUGGAGGGACUAGCGGGGCAGCGCGCCCCAUUGGCUCCCAGAGCCGGCCCCGCAAUGGCCAGGUGCUCCGCUCCGCACGGUGGGGACGUGCACAGGGCAACACACGCACACGGACACCACGGAGUCUUCAUCCUGGGCAGAGCGCGUGUGCCCCGGGCAGCUACAGCCAAACUGUCUGCCCCGACUUCUCCUGCUGGCUAUAUUCUCUCCCCUUAAUCCGAGUGUCAAAAUUGCCUGUCGAACGUGAACCAGCCAAAAAUCUAAAUGAAAAACGGGAACAAAAAGAGCAAGAUUUAAAAACCAACUUGAGAAGUGAACAGUGUCUGUUUGGGUGCAAAUGGGUGCUGUCGAGCAUGUGUGACAGCCGUCAUGGAGCAGAGACCAGGAGCAGCUGAGCGGUGAGCCCUGCUGUGGCUGAGCCUGUCCCGUGGGCCAGGUCAGCCACGGUGCCACAGAAGCCCCAGGGCAGCCUGAAAUUGGGGUUGGAGAUUGUCCACAGAACCUUGCUUACCAGCUUCUCAGAGUCACACUUGCUGGCUUCCUUGUUGGUUUCCUGCCAUGGCAUGAUCGAUUCUUACAAAUACAUUUUCUAGAAGUUGAGUUGUGCCAGGCAAACCAUGCCAAAGCAUCCUCAUUUCCAUGUGUGGUCUGGGUGGAAUGGGGGAGGCUGUAGGCAGAGUGAUUCUGGAUUUCAGCAAGGCACUUGGAGGAGUAUCUCACCCACCUGAAUCUCCCUAAAGCACAAAUCUGCCCUGGCCCCUCCCCUGCAAAAACCUAUAAGAGAGAUUGCGAACUCCUCAGCUGUGCAUGUGUGGCCUUCAAUGAUCUGGUCUCUGCCAAACCUCCCAGCCUCCAAUUCCGGUGCCCUCCCCCUCUGCCCGCAGUUCUAAGGUACAGCCCCCACUUUUGUUCCUUAAGAUCUUGCAUAGGUUGCCACUGCCAACCAGAAUGCCCCUCCCCCUGCCUUGUUCCCCAGGGUAAUCUGCACUCAGCCUCAGACUCAGCUGAACGGUUACCGCCCCACAAAAGCUUCCCAGGCCUUUCUCCUUCUGCUCGA